GUUAUCCAUCCCGCCGRUGGCGGCACUGCUCGCCAUCCGGCCAAGUCCCCGACCACCUCCCCUCCUCGGAGGGGGGGCCGGGGCAACAGAACCCACGGCGCCGACGGCGUCAAGGAACACUAUGCCUAACCCGAGGGUGUGGCUGGCUUGCUAGCCMCCCCUCGUGUUGUGAUGCUAUCUAAUCCACACGACUCUCGGCAACGGAUAUCUCGGCUCUCGCAUCGAUGAAGAACGUAGCGAAAUGCGAUACCUGGUGUGAAUUGCAGAAUCCCGCGAACCAUCGAGUCUUUGAACGCAAGUUGCGCCCGAGGCCACCCGGCUGAGGGCACGCCUGCCUGGGCGUCACGCCAAUACACGCUCCCACCACCCUCAUUGGGUUGCGGGAUGCGGAUUCUGGCCCUCCGUGCCGUGAGGCGCGGCGGGCCGAAGAUCGGGCUGCCGGCGUAUCGUGCCGGACACAGCGCGUGGUGGACUUCUACUCAGCGCAGUGCAUUUGGCAUGUAGCCGGCGCAGCGGCCCCAAGAACCCAACGAACGGAGCGCGUCG
rnacentral:misc_RNA from 1 species